UUACUCUGAUGGCCAUCUUGACAGCCUCCUUCUUUAUGGUAGGAUUAGAAUUCUACCAAUUCGAGCUCUAGCCAGGCUUGAAGGUUCUCUCCCUUUAGAGUGGCUAUUUCCUUGUGGUCGAUCUUUUAUAGGUUAAUUGAUCCCAUUACAGUGCUCAAAUCAACCAAUUUUUAUCUUUGUAGUUUAGUUUGCAUUCACGAUUCCAGCCCUUCAAUGAACAUAAAGAGCUUAUCAUUUUUGACAUGUCUCAAAUAUUUACCAUGUGUAGUUAAAAGGUUUUAUCCUAUUUCCCGAUUGAUCCUAUAUGCUUCAGAUUUCGAAGUACCGUCAAGCCUGAUAUUCUACAUUUUUGAAGAAAACUUUGGUUCAAUCGCCUCCUCGAGAUGAUACCAAGGUAGUCGCAAGAAAGUAUUGUUCCACAUCAGAUAGGAAAUUCUCGGCUUCCAUUGGAUUGCACACCCGUCUUUAAGUAUGCAGUUACGGGAUUCUGAGCUUAGAUCGAGAAUAAUUGCAAUAUUAUCAAUCAUCCUUGCGUAAGCCAUUCGGCUUUAAUUCAGCUAGAUGUGUAAUUCGUGAAUCUUCAUUUCAGCCACCUUUAGAAGUUAGUAUUCAAGUUAGAAGAAGCAAUAAACAGUACAUGGUAUAGGGUGAUGCACGUGCUGGCUGGAGUUUGCUAUAAGAAAAACAAAUAAGGUUAUUCCUUUCAGUUUUUGUUAGGAAAAAACUAAUGUUUUACAGUGGUAUUAAUGUUUUAAAUUUGAUUAUUCGUACUUUGGAAUGCCA